CAGCCACCCAAGCUGCAGGUGUGGAUCCGAGCCUCCCUGUGCUCUUAGGGGAGGGCCAGGAGCAGGGAGGAUCUGCCUUCCCGGGUGCCAGUGUGGCUGCUGCCGCCCUCCUAGGUGCAGGAGCCGGGUGUCUCUGCAGCCUGCACCUUUGGAGGCCCCAGGAAGGAAACCCCUCUCCCCUAUCUUUGCAGGCUCAAAGAUGUCUGCCCGGACUCUCUCCAUUCCCGGCAUCUGCUCCCAUCUCCAAGCAGGGUUGGGGUCGAGCCCCAGGGCCAUGAAUGGCAGCAGGAGGCAGAGUUCUGAACGGAAUGGGUCCUCAGUAAGGCCUCACCUUUGGGCCAGGGAGAGCCUGAAGGCUGGGCUCUUCUGGGCCCUCCCAUGGUCAUUCAUGGGCUAGUAAGCAUGCACUUCUUCCCCUCUGAGGUCCAUAAAAGCCCUGAGCUCAGCCAGAGGAGGGCAGAGGAUGGACAGAGGAUGAAGAGGGCAGAGAGAUGACGGGACCCGACGACCACUAGCUGUAGAUAGCUGCAGAGAGGAGCAGAUAGCUGCAGAGAUGAGUACCAUCUCAGCUGAUAGCUGAGGAUGAUGGGAAGACAAGCUGCCCAGAGGAGUACCCUCUCUGCUGAGGCUGCAGACAGUGACCUGCUGGCAGAGAGAAGCUGCCUCCUCUGCUGAGAACUUCAGAGACCUGCAGAGACAUGGGAAUGACUUGCCUGUGGAGAGGAGACACCCUCUCGAGGGCCUCCUCUCUGCUAGGAGCUGAACACUCUGCUGGACGAACUGCCUACAGAGAGGAGCUACCCACUCCUCUGAGCUAUCCUAACACUAAAUAAAACUCUUCUACACCCUUCACUUGUCUGCGUACCUCAUUCUUUCUGGAUGCAGGACAAGGGCUCAGGCAAAAGUGAUGUGGCCACAGAGGUUUCCAGCCAGAAAAAUCAACACCCAGAGAUCCCAUAACACUUGGUGCCCUGAGCUUACCUGAGGACUGUGACAGGAACUACUGGAAUACUGAAGACAUCAUAAGCAACCUGCCAUGAUGUGUGUAGAUAACCGGACACUGAUCUCCACAAGCAGAGAGAGCAGGGCAAGGAACUCACGAAGAGCAGCAGAUGAACUGGCUUCUGUGUUUGCCCAAACAAUAUCCUGUUUUGACACCACUCAACAUAAUUUGAAACAAAUAGGCA
rnacentral:lncRNA from 1 species